rnacentral:rRNA from 1 species
GCCAGAGCCAGAUCACCCUGCAAGUUCUCGUCUGGUUUCCCGCUGAAGCUAAGCAGGGUUGAGCCUGGCCAGUACCUGGAUGCGAGACCUCCUGGGGAAAACUAAGGUUGCUGCUGGAA